rnacentral:sRNA from 1 species
AAUUUGUUGCGGGCAGAUAAAAUGAAUAUGACUGUCAAAACCGCCAGCAGUAACGAUAUGUUUUUCGCCAGCAAUAAUCUCCGUUCCAGCCCCAAUAACAAUCGUGACCUGCGGUUGCGUAUCAGGAUUUCCAGCCUUUCCUAUCGCCUGAAUGACACCGUCUUUUAUGCCGAUAUCGGCUUUAUAUAUUCCAUUUACAUCAACAAUACAGGCAUUGGUGAUAACCGUAUCUACCGCGCCUUCGUGACGUGUUAGUUGCGACUGCCCCAUCCCAUCACG